GAUACGUUGCUCAAAUUCAAAUAUCGCAGCGCCUUUAAGUUCCAGAAGGCGUUUUCAUGGAUUCCAUCGUUGAUCGGAUUGUUGGCUAACUUUGUUCGACGAGAGAUCGAGUAUCUUGAGCUUCGGGAUUCGAUCGUUGAAGGCAUUGUUGUCGAUGUAUUCAAGUUUGUUAUGGCUGACGUUUAAUACUCGUAAAUUAUACUCGUCUUUGCAAAGGAAGAAAAAUCUUUGAAGAUGAUUCUGCGACAGAUCCAAUAUUUCCAAAUUCUCAAGAUUAAUCUGUGACUGAAUCUUCACGAAAAAGUCUUCUUUCUGCAAACCACGCUCGGACAGAUCCACCUGCGAUGAGCAGAGAAAGAAAAAUAAGAUUUCAAAGAAAUAUUAUUCCUACAGGAAGUGAGGAGAAAAAUAAACGGAGAAUUUCGACAUUGUACCUGCAUGUGUUAUUCGCGCCAAUUUUAAGAGAUGCGAGAAAACAAAUUUUGGCGCGUCGUUACGUCACAGUAAGUGCCGUUACAAUUUAAAAAAUCGCGGCCUAUCAUGAUGAAAUGCAAUAUAAUACAUAAUACUCUAUACGUAAUUAUUUAAAUCAUUAUCAAAUGACCGAUAAAAUCGUUGUUAGUGCCACAUACAAAUAUUAUAACAACGAACAACGUACAAUUCAAAAUUCAAAAUUACUACGUAUCGUACACAAUGAAUAAGUAAAAUAGUUGUGUAAAGAAGCGAUUUGGGGAGCGAAAUUAAAAAGAAAUGUCACCAAACGGCUCGCGAAUCGUUAUCAGAUCAAGUGUCAAAACGUCGCGUGUAUAGACCCACCAAUUUCUUCGAGGUCGUGGAAGCAAUUAAAACGAGGAUUGUGAUAGCCCUGAGCCACAUUG